rnacentral:rRNA from 1 species
UACCAGCACCCCGAGUGGUCGGGACGAUUAUUGGGCCUAAAGCAUCCGUAGCCGGUUUUACAAGUCCCCCGUUAAAUCCAACUGCUUAACAGAUGGGCCGCGGAGGAUACUAUAAGACUAGGAGGCAGGAGAGGCAAGCGGUAGCUCAGUGGGUAGGGGUAAAAUCCGUUGAUACAUUGAAGACCACCAGUGGCGAAGGCGGCUUGCCAGAACGCGCUCGACGGUGAGGGAUGAAAGCUGGGGGAGCAAACCGG